rnacentral:rRNA from 1 species
UGGGGAAUUUUGGACAAUGGGCGAAAGCCUGAUCCAGCAAUGCCGCGUGUGUGAAGAAGGCCUUCGGGUUGUAAAGCACUUUUGUCCGGAAAGAAAUCCUUGGCUCUAAUACAGUCGGGGGAUGACGGUACCGGAAGAAUAAGCACCGGCUAACUACGUGCCAGCAGCCGCGGUAAUACGCAGGGUGCAAGCGUUAAUCGGAAUUACUGGGCGUAAAGCGUGCGCAGGCGGUUUGCUAAGACCGAUGUGAAAUCCCCGGGCGUCAACCUAGGGAACUGGCAUUGGUGAUCUGGCAGGCUAGAGUAUGGCAGAGGGGGUGAGAAUACCACGUGUAGCAGUGAAAUGCGUAGAGAUGUGGAGGAAUACCGAUGGCGAAGGCAGCCCCU